rnacentral:rRNA from 1 species
AGUGAACGCUGGCGGUAGGCCUAACACAUGCAAGUCGAACGGCAGCACAGUAAGAGCUUGCUCUUACGGGUGGCGAGUGGCGGACGGGUGAGGAAUACAUCGGAAUCUACUUUUUCGUGGGGGAUAACGUAGGGAAACUUACGCUAAUACCGCAUACGACCUACGGGUGAAAGCAGGGGAUCUUCGGACCUUGCGCGAUUGAAUGAGCCGAUGUCGGAUUAGCUAGUUGGCGGGGUAAAGGCCCACCAAGGCGACGAUCCGUAGAUGGUCUGAGAGGAUGCUCAGCCACACUGGAACUGAGACACGGUCCAGACUCCUACGGGAGGCAGCAGUGGGGAAUAUUGGACAAUGGGCGCAAGCCUGAUCCAGCCAUACCGCGUGGGUGAAGAAGGCCUUCGGGUUGUAAAGCCCUUUUGUUGGGAAAGAAAAGCAGCAGGUUAAUACCCCGCUGUUCUGACGGUACCCAAAGAAUAAGCACCGGCUAACUUCGUG